rnacentral:ncRNA from 1 species
UUAAAGUUUUAUUCUUGCUUUAUGUUAGGCUUUUAGAAUGUUUUAUAUAAAGGUUUUUAAAUUAAAUAUUUGGUUUUUGUAGUAAUUAGUAUUGAAUAUCAAGUUAUUUUGGAUUCAGCGAUUUUUUUUGGAAAGAUAAAUGUCGUGCCAGCAAUCGCGGUUAUACGUUAUUUUCUUGUUUAAUUUUUUUGGUAUGUAGUUAUUUUAUUUCUAAGUUCUUAUAUAUUGUAAUGUUUGGUGGAAUAUUAUUACGAAUUAUUGGCUUUAUUUGUUAUAACUAUUUAGGCUAUAGUUUAAACUAGGAUUAGAUACCCUAUUAUUUUAGAAUAUUUGUUUUCCAGGGUAGUAUGAUUAUUUUUUGAAAUCUAAAGAAUUUGGCGGCAUUCUGUCUUUUUAGAGGAACCUGUCCUGUGAUUGAUGUUACACGUUUGGCGUUGCUGGUUGUAAUUGUUUGUAUAUUUCCGUUAUUAGAAAAUUUAUGGAUAAUAUUUUCGAGUUUUUUUAUUAAAUUGUAUUUCAGGUCAAGGUGCAGCUUAUUGAUCAGUAGUAGAUGGGUUACAAUAAUUUAAUUUAUAUGGAUAUUUAUUUUAAAGGAUAAAUUGAAGGUGGAUUUAUUAGUAAAUUUUAUUAAUUAUUAUUUUUGAAUUAGGUCUGGUUUGUGCACAUAUCGCCCGUCGCUCUCAAUUUUUGAGAUAAGUCGUAACAGAGUAGAUUUACUGGAAAGUAAAUCUGGUUUUCA